GGGGUUGUGGCUCAUCGGUAGAGUGCUCGUCUGGCACGUGGGAGGUGCUGAGUUUGAUCCUUAGCACCACA
rnacentral:tRNA from 1 species